rnacentral:rRNA from 1 species
UGUUCUUGCUUUCGGCAGGCAGCCCCAGGGCGGGGCUCGCUGGCCACUGGGGGGGCAACCCCCCAAGGCGCCUGCCGGACGGCACCCAAACAAACUCUUUGCUAUAUUUUUGCUAUCUGAGUACCUGAAAAUAAUCAAAACUUUCAACAACGGAUCUCUUGGUUCUGGCAUCGAUGAAGAACGCAGCGAAAUGCGAUAAGUAAUGUGAAUUGCAGAAUUCAGUGAAUCAUCGAAUCUUUGAACGCACAUUGCGCCCACUAGUACUCUAGUGGGCAUGCCUGUUCGAGCGUCAUUUUCCACCCUCGAGCCCCUGCGGCUCGGUGUUGGGGCUCUACAGCGGUGUCCCUCGCGGCGCCCGUAGGCCCUUAAAGCCAGUGGCGGGCUCGCCAGUCGUCCGGGCGUGGUAUCACUAUCGCCUAGGAGGCCUGGCGGGUUGCUAGCCGUUAAACCCCCAUAUUCUAGAAGGUUGACCUCGGAUCAGGUAGGAAUACCCGCUGAACUUAAGCAUAUCAAUAAGCGGA